rnacentral:rRNA from 1 species
GAUGAACGCUGGCGGCGUGCUUAACACAUGCAAGUCGAACGGAAAGGCCCAAGCUUGCUUGGGUACUCGAGUGGCGAACGGGUGAGUAACACGUGGGUGAUCUGCCCUGCACUUCGGGAUAAGCCUGGGAAACUGGGUCUAAUACUGGAUAGGACCACUUCUUGGAUGUUGUGGUGGAAAGUUUUUUCGGUGUGGGAUGAGCUCGCGGCCUAUCAGCUUGUUGGUGGGGUAAUGGCCUACCAAGGCGUCGACGGGUAGCCGGCCUGAGAGGGUGUACGGCCACAUUGGGACUGAGAUACGGCCCAGACUCCUACGGGAGGCAGCAGUGGGGAAUAUUGCACAAUGGGCGCAAGCCUGAUGCAGCGACGCCGCGGGGGGGAUGACGGCCUUCGGGUUGGAAACUCCUUUCGCUAGGGACGAAGCGUUUUGUGACGGUACCUGGAGAAGAAGCACCGGCUAACUACGUG